rnacentral:rRNA from 1 species
UACAGAGGGUGCAAGCGUUGUUCGGAAUUAUUGGGCGUAAAGCGCGUGUAGGCGGCUUUGCAAGUCGGGUGUGAAAGCCCUCAGCUUAACUGAGGAAGUGCGCCCGAAACUGCAGAGCUUGAGUACCGGAGAGGAUGGCGGAAUUCCCCAAGUAGAGGUGAAAUUCGUAGAUAUGGGGAGGAACACCGGUGGCGAAGGCGGGCCAUCUGGACGGAUACUGACGCUGAGACGCGAAAGCGUGGGGAGCAAACAGG